rnacentral:rRNA from 1 species
UACGUAGGGGGCUAGCGUUGUUCGGAAUCACUGGGCGUAAAGGGCGCGUAGGCGGCCAUAUAAGUCGGGGGUGAAAGCCUGUGGCUCAACCACAGAAUUGCCUUCGAUACUGUAUGGCUCGAGACCGGAAGAGGUAAGUGGAACUGCGAGUGUAGAGGUGAAAUUCGUAGAUAUUCGCAAGAACACCAGUGGCGAAGGCGGCUUACUGGUCCGGUUCUGACGCUGAGGCGCGAAAGCGUGGGGAGCAAACAGG